CCACUAGUUUUACUUUCCACUAAAAAUGUAAAAAGUUGUCAUUGUCAAAAGGUCAAAACUUAUGCCACCUAAAGUAAAACUGUACAAAGUUGCAUCCCUACCUUCCAAAAGACAAAAGGAAGCUGUAUUUAUUUUUUUCCCUUAGAAGUUACACCUGUUUAUGACUCAUGGGUACUAUUUAUUUGUAGUUUAGAUUUGAUUCAAGGUGCUCGAGUUUGUAGGUCGCACUAUGGUAGUUUGUGGGUUAUUCAUGCAUUAUGGUAGUCUUUGUGACAACUUUUGAGAUUUGAAGUAUAUUGUGAGCUAAAUUUGCUUAUUGAUGUAUGUGUUCUUGAAUAUUCAUUUUUUGUGAAUUUUGAUAGUUCUAUUGAGAACAAGUGGUUGUGAAAUAUUUUUGGGAGUGUGUUUCUCUGAACAGGUUCAAGGUAAAUUUUUGGUUUUGUUGUGGUAGCAUCGUUAUGCUGCUGAAAAUUUUCCAUCGUCUUCGUAUCUCAUAUCUAGAUGCAACAAAGGAGUAAAUAUUUGGUAUCGCAACCACUUUAUGCUUUUUCUUGAGGAACUUUAGAUCCAAUAUAUUCACUACAAGAAUUUUGCCUUGAAUGUACUUUUAUGCACAUUCCCAAUAAACACGUGGUCAGACAAAGAUGCCUAUAACUAGACACUACUGAAGCUAGGGGUUGGUUCAAGAAGAAUUAUGAAGGGAUCUAUACUUACCAAGUGGAGAGAGACAGUAAUCUCA